rnacentral:piRNA from 1 species
AAAAAGUCAUCGCUGUCAAGGGUAAC